AUGAGUUUCCUUGCUCAGCUCCUGGGGCUGCUGUUGCUUUGGGUGGGAGGAUGCAGUGGAGAUGUUGUGUUGACCCAGACUCCCCUCUCCCUACCCAUCACCCCUGGAGAGUCGGCCUCCAUCUCCUGCAAGGCCAGUCAGAGCUUCCUACAUAGUAAUGGAAACACCUAUUUGAGUUGGUACCUGCAGAAGCCAGGCCAGGCUCCACAGCUCCUGCUCUAUUUGGUUUCUAACCGGGCCUCUGAGGUCCCAGACAGGUUCAGUGACAGCAGGUCAGGGACAGAUUUCACACUGAAGAUCAGCAGUUUGGAGGCUGAGGAUCUCGGGAUUUAUUACUGUCAGCAAGAUACACACAGUCCUCCCACAGUGAUACAGCUCUGA